rnacentral:rRNA from 1 species
CGCCUCUUGACCACAUAUAAGAGGUCCUGCCUGCCCAGUGACUCAAUUCAACGGCCGCGGUAUCCUAACCGUGCGAAGGUAGCGUAAUCACUUGUUCUUUAAAUGAGGACUAGUAUGAAUGGCGUCACGAAGAUUUUACUGUCUCCUUUCUCUAAUCAGUGAAACUAAUCUUCCCGUGAAGAAGCGGGAAUAAGUAUAUAAGACGAGAAGACCCUAUGAAGCUUUAAACGUAGUAACAACUUUUACCUAUUAAUAACAUUUCUGAAUAACCACACCAAGUAACCCCUAUGAUUACAAGUUUUUGGUUGGGGCGACCACGGAGUAGAAAACAACCUCCAAGUAGAACGGAGUUUAAUCCUAAGCAAAAAGCUUCAACUUUAUGCACCAGCAAACUGACUUCUAUUGACCCAAUAUAUUGAUCAACGAACCAAGUUACUCUAGGGAUAACAGCGCAAUCCACUUCUAGAGCCCCUAUCGACAAGUGGGCUUACGACCUCGAUGUUGGAUCAGGGUAUCCUGGUGGUGCAGCCGCUACCAAAGGUUUGUUUGUUCAACGAUUAAAACCCUA